rnacentral:rRNA from 1 species
GUGCCAGCAGCGGCGGUAAUACGUAGGUGGCAAGCGUUGUCCGGAAUUAUUGGGCGUAAAGCGCGCGCAGGUGGUUUCUUAAGUCUGAUGUGAAAGCCCACGGCUCAACCGUGGAGGGUCAUUGGAAACUGGGGAACUUGAGUGCAGAAGAGGAAAGUGGAAUUCCAAGUGUAGCGGUGAAAUGCGUAGAGAUUUGGAGGAACACCAGUGGCGAAGGCGACUUUCUGGUCUGUAACUGACACUGAGGCGCGAAAGCGUGGGAGCGAACAGGAUUAGAUACCC